AUGGGUAUCAAUGUUCUCGGCUUGACCCAAGUGUUUGUGAAUGUGUUGUGUUUGUCUCAUGCUGGUUGCACAGUGAAGCCCUCAGUGUCUCUGCUGCCGCCCUCUUCUCUGCAGAUCUCUGGAGACUCAGCCGCACUGCUCUGCCUGCUCAGCUCUUACUCUCCACCGGGGGCGCUGGUGAGCUGGACACUGGACGGCUCAGAGGUCACCGAGGGGGUCCAGACCAGUGCAGAGAGCGAGCGGGACGGGCGCUACAGCCGCAGUAGCAUCCUGACCCUCAGUAAAGCACACUGGGAAAAAGGAGAGCUGUACGUCUGCAGAGUAACACAUGAAGGAGCUCCUCAAGAGGUCUCGUUCCAGAAGAGUCACUCGCAGUGCUGAUGUUUCUCCAGUGAGCGCUGCUCUCUCCUGAAGAUGAGGCAUAUGUGAGUGUCCUGUGUCAGGCAGGAUUCACAUGAGUCUAGUGCUGCAGCUGUAGUCAUU